AUUGAACGCUGGCGGCAGGCCUAACACAUGCAAGUCGAACGAGUGGCGGACGGGUGAGUAAUGUCUGGGAAACUGCCUGAUGGAGGGGGAUAACUACUGGAAACGGUAGCUAAUCCCGCAUACCAUCAGAUGUGCCCAGAUGGGAUUAGCUUGUUGGUGGGGGAACGGCUCACCACGGCGCCGAGCCCUAGCUGGUCUGAGAGGAUGACCAGCAACACUGGAACUGAGACACGGACCAGAAUCCUACGGGAGGCAGCAGUGGGGAAUAUUGAACAAUGAGCGCAAGCCGGAUGCAGCAAUGCCGCGUGUAUGAAGAAGGCCUUCGGGUUGUAAAGUACUUUCAGCGGGGAGGCGUUACCCGCAGAAGAAGCACCGGCUAACUCCGUGCCAGCAGCCGCGGUAAUAC
rnacentral:rRNA from 1 species